CCUACGGGAGGCAGCAGUGAGGAAUAUUGGUCAAUGGCCGAGAGGCUGAACCAGCCAAGUCGCGUGAGGGAAGACGGCCCUACGGGUUGUAAACCUCUUUUGUCGGGGAGCAAAGCGAACCACGUGUGGUUCAUUGAGAGUAACCGAAGAAAACGCAUCGGCUAACUCCGUGCCAGCAGCCGCGGUAAUACGGAGGAUGCGAGCGUUAUCCGGAUUUAUUGGGGUUAAAGGGUGCGCAGGCGGAGGUGCAAGUCAGCGGUCAAAUUGCGGGGCUCAACCCCGUACUGCCGUUGAACCUGCAUCCCUUGAGUGCGUGAGAAGUAUGCGGAAUGCGUGGUGUAGCGGUGAAAUGCAUAGAUAUCACGCAGAACUCCGAUUGCGAAGGCAGCAUACCGGCGCGCAACUGACGCUCAUGCACGAAAGCGUGGGUAUCGAACAGGAUUAGAUACCCCGGUAGUC
rnacentral:rRNA from 1 species